rnacentral:rRNA from 1 species
UACGUAGGGACCGAGCGUUGUCCGGAUUCAUUGGGCGUAAAGAGCUCGUAGGCGGCUUUUUAAGUCGAACGUGAAAACUCGGAGCUCAACUCCGAGCCUGCGUUCGAUACUGGAUGGCUAGAGUCUGGUAGGGGGAUCUGGAAUUCCUGGUGUAGCGGUGGAAUGCGCAGAUAUCAGGAGGAACACCGGUGGCGAAGGCGGGUCUCUGGGCAUUAACUGACGCUGAGGAGCGAAAGCAUGGGGAGCGAACAGG